rnacentral:rRNA from 1 species
CCUACGGGGGGCAGCAGUGGGGAAUAUUGGACAAUGGGGGCAACCCUGAUCCAGCCAUGCCGCGUGUGUGAAGAAGGCCCUCGGGUUGUAAAGCACUUUCAGUGAGGAAGAACGCCUGUGGGUAAAAACCAACAGGGAAGGCCAUAACUAACAGAAGAAGCACGGCCUAACUCCGUGCCAGCAGCCGCGGUAAUACGGAGGGUGCGAGCGUUAAUCGGAAUUACUGGGCGUAAAGCGCGCGUAGGUGGCUUGAUAAGCCGGUUGUGAAAGCCCCGGGCUCAACCUGGGAACGGCAUCCGGAACUGUCAAGCUAGAGUGCAGGAGAGGAAGGUAGAAUUCCCGGUGUAGCGGUGAAAUGCGUAGAGAUCGGGAGGAAUACCAGUGGCGAAGGCGGCCUUCUGGACUGACACUGACACUGAGGUGCGAAAGCGUGGGUAGCAAACAGGAUUAGAUACCCUAGUAGUC